CCCGCCUCCGCUGGCCACGCCUGCCUGCCGCCACUGCGGGUAGGGGGCAGAUGUGACGUCAUGUGAAAUGCCUGGAUCCAAAACCGGAAGUGCCCCAGAAGUAAGAAAAGGCAUACCGGCGACGGACUCCGACCCGGGGACAGCACCCAGCGCAGCUCCAGCUUCACCACAGCUACAACCAGAGUACUCACAGCCACAAGCAGACACACAGCAGAAAAAAACCCACAAGACCUCCACAGAGAGAACCAGAGUCUUCACCUGACGCCAGCUCCAGCUUCAACACUACUCCUGUCAGACGCUAUCCCAACGCAUGUGAGCUUCAGACUACAAACCCUGAUGAAAAAUGCAAACUUGUCUACUUUAACUCUCAGGAGAAGCAGGAGAUCCGUGUAAGGGGAGUUCUGCAAAGCUCCAGCAUUCCCAGAGGAGGAAGACUGGCUUGGCAGUCUCCAAGGGCCCUCUGCCACAGAUGCAACAAGCAGCUCCAGCCAGCUCUGCCGGCAGAUUUAUCCAGCGAGCGUCCAUGCCGGAUGUGAAUGGAGGUGUUUGGGAUUGGGAUUGAAAGGGGAGUGAUAGCCACCCUGCCCUGUGAAGGCAGCGCUCUCCAGAAGAGAGGGCCUUUUAUCCCUUCUUCCUGACGCCAGGGACAGGACCCAGGGAAUGGCUGGAGCUGUGUCAGGGGGUUGGGAUGAGUAUGAGGAAAAGGUUCUUCACCUAGAGGGUGGUGGGGCACCAAACAGGCUCCCCAGGGAAUAGCCAUGGCCCCAAGGCUGUCAGAGCUCCAGAAGCAUUUGGACAAUGCUCUCAGGAAUGCACAGGGUGGGACUGUUGGGGUGUCUGUGCAGGGACAUGGACUGAACUGGAUGAUCCCUGUGGGUCCCUUCCAGCUCAGGAUAUUUUGUGAAUCUGUGUCAGCUGGACAUUGGCACAGGGCUCAUAAGACUUGACUUCAGAAUUUACCUGAAUUUUUAGUGGUAAACGGGAUUAGUCUGGUAAAAUAGAGAGGAUGAGCUGGUACCUGGAUUGGAGCACAGAAAGGCAUAGAUGGCUCUUCAUAGACCAUUCAGGCACUCCAGCAGAAGACAAGAAGCUGAGAAAAAAAGAGGCGCUCCCAGAUAGCAUGGAAAGAUAAAUUUGAGCGUAACUAAGGGUGUGAAAUGUGGGUCAAGAGGGCAGUGAACAAUAGUAAGAAAUAUGCUGAGAUGACUAAAGCAGUGAGAAAGAGGGCAAGGAGAAGAGCAAUUAAAAAGAUGAGCAGAGUCACUCUAGUUUGGCACUGAGAGCUUGAUGGCUGGACAAUAUACAUGAGGAGAAACUAGUAGCCAGGUGGACGUGCAAAGGCAUCAGGCAAUGAAUUGUCUGUCAGGUGCUGGAAACACAACACCCAGCAUGGAGCUGAAGAGGAGUCAGAGCAUCAUAAAUUCAGUCAGGUCUGCUGCAGACAGGGAUCCGGGGUCUCAUUGUGAGCAUCUAAGAAAUAAGGGAAUGAAAUGGAAAAGCCAUCAGCUCCCUGGAUACUCUGAAAUAUGAGGUGCAGCUGCAGCUAUUUUUAGAAGCAUGAAAUAUCCUGAGUGGGAAGGGACUCAUAGGGAUCAAUCAUCCAGUCCAACUCCUGGCUCAGGACACCACAACAAUCUCACCCUGUGCAUCCCUGAGAGCACUGUCGAAACACUCCUGGAGCUCUGGCAGCCUUGGGGCCCUGCCUAUUCCCUGGGGAGCCUGCCUUGUGCCUGCCCAGCACCCUCUGGGGGUAGAACCUCUUCCUGAUCUCCAGCUUUCCCUCAGGUCCUGUCCCUGGAGGCCUAGAGAAGGUUAACACAUAGUCCAUUUACAUAGAACAGGGCUUGCAGGCUAGUUGAUAGGAUUUAGAUUCUACUGAAAUCUGCUGAAAACUACUUGGACAAGCUAUUGAAGAUCUAAUUCCUAUAGAUCUGCAACACUAGUCAGCCAAUUAAUAAAUUAAUAUGGAUUCUUUAUUAGGAAAAAAAAAACAUUUUAAAGAAAAAAGCUUGUUCUGACAAGAAGGAGGAAGAUGGCUUAGCUUUAGCAGUAUUAUUGAUAUCAUCACACUGCUGUGUCCCAGCAGGAGAUCCUGUGGAAAAUUGUGCCAAGAUCAAGGACAGGUUACAAGAGCCCUCAUUUUCCUUCCAAUGAGAAACUUAAGUGUUUUGUACAGAUCCUAAGGGCCACUUUGUAGAGGGUGGGAUUGUGCUUAAGAUGUGGAAGCAACGUCCCUUUACUUUGCCUCUGCCCUGCUGGCAUGCCUGGGAAGCAGAGAAGCAUGCUGUGAGCCAGAGAUCCUUGUGCAGCUCUGGAGCACACACAGCCAUGGAGGCCUGGAAGACUCCCAUGGGAGGAGCUGUUGCCCAAACAACAGGAGCCCCCUCCCCACCUUCCAGUCCUCAGUGUAGGCUCAGGAAGGGCUCUGGGAGCUCUCUUGGUCACUGCUGGCAACCACAGCUCCUUCUCAUGGACUUGACAAGGCUCUCCUGCCUCUCCACCAGCAUUUCUUUGCAAGAAAUGUUCUGUGUGUGCUGCAAACAGUGAGGCUGCCUCCAGGAGAGGUGGAUGAUGGUGCCAGCAGCCUCAAGGAGACACGGUCUGCAUAAUCAAAGGCUCCCUUAUGCAAGAGUCUUGCUGUCAAAGCCAGGCCAAAACAGCCCUUUGCUUUUCUGUCAUUUCUGACUCAGUGGGGAAGCAUCAAUGCAAACAUCCCUCUGCAGAGAGGAAAGGCUUGGAACAAUAAUCUACUGCAAAAUGGAACUCCCUAGAUUUUAAAACACCUUCUGUUGGUCAGGGCAUUCAGUAAAACAUAUCAAAUUGCACUUUGCCAGUAAGACCUAAAAAAACUCUAAAAGAUGGCUGUAUGGAACCUGCAAAAUCUUCUGGGUUGAAGUAUGUGCAGGAUUGGCAGCAGUGCCAUGGCUCACACUUCCAUGGAUGUCUCACAAACACUUAAAACAGAGUUAUGCUUGAACACUUUGGGCACACCACCAGGAUGCUAUGGAUUCAGGAAUGUUAAUGUGCUACUGCUGUGAACUGAUACACUUCUACGGGAAGUCUCUUCCCAUCUUUAAUUCAGUGCCUGGAAGACCAGAAGCUUCAGUCUGUGUGUUGUUGACUUGACAGAAAUACUUCAGUGGAAUGUAAAGGAGCAGCACAGCUGGCUCCAAAUUUACUUAACAUCCCUGUGUUUACACUGUAAUACCUAUGGGACAAACAGUGCUGUGGUAUUAUUUGUUGUUCUGUGUGUUUUUUUCCUCAGGAAUAAAGAAUCACCACAAUCUAAGGAGGCUGGAAAAAGGCCCAUAUAAUCAUUUCUCAGUGUGACAUGAAACAGAAAUCAAAGCUUUCAGACAGUUUCUCCAACUUGACCUAUGAAGUCUGGGUCAGCAGUUUUCAGUGUACAGAAAAGGAGGCUCAAGUUAUGCUCCUCUUUCUGUGCACAGAAAUGAUAAAAUGAAGGGUAAAUCCAAGCACCAGUCAUGCAGCAAACUGCAAACUGGCAGUAUUUCCCAGAAACUGAAGCAAAUGCAAAGGAAUUUGCUUUGAGGGUUAAGCAUGUGUCACUUAAAUACCAAAUCUGCCACAUGCCACAUCUGUUACAGCCUCUUUCACACAAACCAGCUCUUUUCCUGCAGGGAUAAAGUACUUCCCAGCUUGUAAAAAGGACAAUUUACCUGGUGGCAGGUAGCCUAGCCAGGUGUAACACUUACUUUAUGGAAUAAGCCAUGGAUCCCAGGAAAUAUCAACAUCAAGUUCACACACAACAUGGCAGGAGUCAGCAUAGAGGGACCCCUUCAAGGCAGGACAGCAUCAGACCAAAGUAAAAUAAGGGUUUCCUCCACGAGGGGAGCAAUGCUGAGAAAGGCAAAGAAAAACUCUUUCUUCCAUGACUGAAACCCACAGAUGCUGAGUCUCCCCUGGCUGUACAGGGAUAAAGGUGUCCUGUAGAGCUCCGAGACAGUGACAUACCUCCUCCAAGGAUGUGCAGGACUCCCUGUGGGAUCAUUCUGCCUCCCAGCACAUUUGGCCAAACUAGCAUCAAGCUCCACAGCCAUAGAAAUACUCACUCUAGUCCCACGGAUAGCAAAGCUUAAAUGGUCUUUCAUUUCCAGCUUGUUUUUUUGGAUUCUCUCCCACUCUUCUACCCAUGCAAGAAAAAAAACCUCUUGUGUUUCACCUUCUGAAUGUGUGAUCCUUGGCCACACAGCUGUCACACAGACAAUCCUGUGUUCAAGAAGCUGUUCUGGGUUGUUAUUUGAUUCCCAGGGAACUCUGGAGAUAUUCAUGCAAAAGAUGCAGAAAAUUCCUGUAAAAGAAACUAAAAAUCAGGUGUUUUCCUCUUAAUUCCAAGCUGAAGCACCUCCUGGGCAAUCACUUUCAAUAUGCAAAAGGAGACAAGAGUUCCAGGGUUUAUGUAAGGAGCACAAAGACAUGCCACUGCAUCAGGAGGAUCUGCUAACUCUGCUGUCCACAGAUAAAGAAUGACAACUGUAAAUGUUUUCUUUUUCCUCUUCCCCUGUUCCUCCACAUAGGCAGCCCCAAGACAAGGACUCUCAUUCACGAAUACCACAAUAGCCACAGUGCCCUGCAGCACAUCUGCAAAGUGGUGAGAGGCUAUCUUUUAGUGGGAUAAGCUUUGGAAUUCAGGAAGUCUGUGUCAGACAUCAUCCCUUGACCUCCUUCCCUGAAGGCAUCCCCAGCAGCCCCUGUGUCAAGCCUGCUCACAACAUUCCUCUGUACCAGCAGACAUUGCAAAGGAGCCACGAAACCUCUGAUUUUACGGUGCUUGCUGCCUGCCAGGAGCAGGAAGAUGAAAUACUGCAGCAAAGGAAAACUCCACUCAUCUGCCAAAUUCCCCUCCUGAGAAGCAAUCCUGCCUAAAGAAAUCCAUGGAGCAGGACCAGCCUGCUGGCUCGAGUUGCACUGAUGGAUGGUGAACAGCAAUCUGGCUGACAAAACUAUUCUACAAAAGGCAAAAAUAAGGUAAAACCAUGCAGCUUUUGUCAUCUGAAGCACUAUAACUCAAAUUUGGACUUCAUCAGCACCGUGAAUUGUGAAGCAGCAGGGUGCUAAAAGCAUGGUUAGCAAUCACACACAGUUCUAAUCUCCUGCUACAAGGGAUAAGGAUGAAGCUUUUGCUGCAGAACUACAGAAAUCUUCUUUUAAAGACUGUUAAGACAUUUUCUUCAGAGGUGUAACAGCAACAGAUGCAGCAAUUUCUGGACUGUAAAAUCCCUCCCUUCCCUGACCUUGAGAAGCACCAGGCUCCAAGCAAAACUGAAAAAUUUUUCUUAGGCUGGCUGGCUGCCUACUCACAGUCCCUUUUCAAUACAGCCAACUUGGAAGAAGCCAGGCAGAAGUUUAUGUAUCACAUAACUCUGCUCCAUUCUGAGCAGACACCAGAAGACUACACUGUAUUUCACAGGACCAUUUGGGUGAGAAAAGUCCUCCAAGAUCAUGGAGUCCCACCACUGAUUUGACACUGCCAGCUCCUCCACCAAGCCAUGGCCCUAAGCACAACACCUACAAUUUAUUAUAAAUUACUAUAUUGUUACAUGAUAUUACUACAAUGGUUAUAAAUUACUGCUACAUCACUUACAAAUGAUCAUCUUUGCUACAGGAAUCAUUGGCCUUUCCAGAAAACAGGCCAGCACACAGUAGCCAUUUGCUAAAUGGUGACUUUUGUGAAACACUAUGACUGAGUAACUUCACAUAAAUCUACAAGUGAGAACUAUUACAAGCUCAACCACUGAACUUGUCACUUCACCUUCCUACACUCCUUUCCCCUAAUCCUCUUUCACUUUUUUUUCCAUGCUGACUGCCUUUGCCCUGGAACUUCUGGAUGACUUGGACCCUCAUCUUUGCACAGGCUCCAGGAAGGCGGAGAAUAGAAACUUUCAGCACAAAAAGUCUCAAAAUGGGCACCAAGAACUUUGUAAGGAAAGGUCCUGUCUUUCCUUACAAAUAAAAGAAUUGCACAAUUCUUUUAAUUGUGCAAACAAUUAAUUUAAUUUAACAGCUCCUAAGGGCAAAGACAUUUGUUGGGAUACAGUCACUUCCCCG